AUGAAACUAAAACUAGAACUUCUCGAUAUUUCUAGUAUACGUUCAGCUGCAAGAUACUGCUCCAACUCACCAGCCACAAGCAGCAAAAAAAAAAAAAAGAAGAGACUAAACAAGAAGGGUCUGCUGCUGAGAGGCAUCACAUCACAGGUAGCUGCAAGUUAUCAGCUCAGGUCCCGUGUACAUGAUGCUCUAACAGAAUGCCCCUAUGAAUGUUCAGCAGUAAACUGUGAAGUACAGACCCUGGGACCAACACUGAUGAAUGCUGAUCUGGAAACUGCCUUCAUUCACGAGCAGGAAACGCUCCUGUUUUAAAAGGCAAUUAAUUAUUAUAUUUUUAAUGUGGAAAUCUGGAAUGCACAUAAAUAAAUCCAUUAAAUAAGGAUUUACA
rnacentral:lncRNA from 1 species